AAUUGGGGGUACUUUUGUUCAACUGGGUCUAUUUGUAAUAUUGGGUUUUCUGUAAACAAUAAGGUAAUGAGCAUCACAAGCAUAUGCGCACUGUGAUGGAGGAAUACAAACUUCAAAAAGGUAUAGAUAUCUAAGAUUCACUUGAAUGUUUUGUCAAAUGAGCCGCACUGUUCUUUUGGCAUAAUUUAAUGGAUUAACUUGAAAGCAAUGUGCGGUUGUAAGAAGUAUAAGUAAAUUGUAGCGAG